UGGGAUUAACAGUUGGAAACAGCUGCUAAUACCCGAUACGAGCUUCGAAGGCAUCUUCAGAAGCUGGAAAGAACUUCGGUCAGGGAUGAGCUCGCGGCCUAUCAGCUAGUUGGUGAGGUAAUGGCUCACCAAGGCGUCGACGGGUAGCCGGCCUGAGAGGGUGACCGGCCACACUGGGACUGAGACACGGCCCAGACUCCUACGGGAGGCAGCAGUGGGGAAUAUUGCACAAUGGGCGCAAGCCUGAUGCAGCAACGCCGCGUGAGGGACGACGGCCUUCGGGUUGUAAACCUCUUUUAGCAGGGAAGAAGCGAAAGUGACGGUACCUGCAGAAAAAGCGCCGGCUU
rnacentral:rRNA from 1 species